rnacentral:misc_RNA from 1 species
GUAGACAACAUCUUCUGUUGCAACAUUGCCAGAAGCUCCUUUGGCAUAUGGACAGCCUCCGAGACCAGCAACUGAGGAGUCGACUGUGCUAAUACCCAUUUGGAGGGAAACCAAAAUAUUUGAAAGAGACUGUCCAUAGGUAUCAUGAAAAUGCACAGCAAGUUUUUCAACAGGAACCACAGCCAUCACAGCUUCAAGCAUAGGAACAACAGUUCCUGGAGUAGCGAUUCCUAUUGUGUCUCCAAGGGAAAUUUCAAAACAUCCCAUGUCAUGAAGUUCCUUUGCUACAUAUGCCACUUUU